AGUUUGAUCCUGGCUCAGAUUGAACGCUGGCGGCAUGCCUUACACAUGCAAGUCGAACGGCAGCACGGGAGCUUGCUCCUGGUGGCGAGUGGCGAACGGGUGAGUAAUACAUCGGAACGUACCCUGAAGUGGGGAUAACGUAGCGAAAGUUACGCUAAUACCGCAUAUUCUGUGAGCAGGAAAGAGGGGGAUCGCAAGACCUCUUGCUUUAGGAGCGGCCGAUGUCGGAUUAGCUAGUUGGUGAGGUAAAGGCUCACCAAGGCGACGAUCCGUAGCGGGUCUGAGAGGAUGAUCCGCCACACUGGGACUGAGACACGGCCCAGACUCCUACGGGAGGCAGCAGUGGGGAAUUUUGGACAAUGGGCGCAAGCCUGAUCCAGCCAUGCCGCGUGAGUGAAGAAGGCCUUCGGGUUGUAAAGCUCUUUCGGUGGGGAAGAAAUUGCUUCGGUUAAUACCUGGAGUAGAUGACGGUACCCGCAUAAGAAGCACCGGCUAACUACGUG
rnacentral:rRNA from 1 species